rnacentral:rRNA from 1 species
GACGAACGCUGGCGGCGUGCUUAACACAUGCAAGUCGAACGGAAAGGCCCUGCUUUUGUGGGGUGCUCGUGUGGCGAACGGGUGAGUAACACGCGAGUAACCUGCCCUUGACUUUGGGAUAACUUCAGGAAACUGGGGCUAAUACCGGAUAGGAGCUCCUGCUGCAUGGUGGGGGUUGGAAAGUUUCGGCGGUUGGGGAUGGACUCGCGGCUUAUCAGCUUGUUGGUGGGGUAGUGGCUUACCAAGGCUUUGACGGGUAGCCGGCCUGAGAGGGUGACCGGCCACAUUGGGACUGAGAUACGGCCCAGACUCCUACGGGAGGCAGCAGUGGGGAAUAUUGCGCAGUGGGCGGGAGCCUGAUGCAGCGACGCCGCGUGCGGGAUGACGGCCUUCGGGUUGUAAACCGCUUUCGCCGGUGACGAAGCGUGAGUGACGGUAAUGGGUAAGGAAGCACCGGCUAACUACGUG